AUUGAACGCUGGCGGCAGGCCUAACACAUGCAAGUCGAACGAGUGGCGGACGGGUGAGUAAUGUCUGGGAAACUGCAUGAUGGAGGGGGAUAACUACUGGAAACGGUAGCUAAUACCGCAUACCCUCGGAUGUGCACAGAUGGGAUUAGCUAGUAGGGGGGGUAAAGGCUCCCCUAGGCGACGAUCCCUAGCUGGUCUGAGAGGAUGAACAGCCACAAUGGAACUGAGACACGGCCCAGACCCCUACGGGAGGCAGCAGUGGGGAAUAUUGCACAAUGGGCGCAAGCCUGAUGCAGCCAUGCCGCGUGUAUGAAGAAGGCCUUCGGGUUGUAAAGUACUUUCAGCGGGGAGGCGUUACCCGCAGAAGAAGCACCGGCUAACUCCGUGCCAGCCGCCGCGGUAAUUC
rnacentral:rRNA from 1 species